CCUACGGGAGGCAGCAGUGGGGAAUAUUGGACAAUGGGCGAAAGCCUGAUCCAGCAAUGCCGCGUGAGUGAUGAAGGCCUUAGGGUUGUAAAGCUCUUUUACCCGGGAUGAUAAUGACAGUACCGGGAGAAUAAGCUCCGGCUAACUCCGUGCCAGCAGCCGCGGUAAUACGGAGGGAGCUAGCGUUGUUCGGAAUUACUGGGCGCAAAGCGCACGUAGACGGCUUUGUAAGUUAGAGGUGAAAGCCUGGAGCUCAACUCCAGAAUUGCCUUUAAGACUGCAUCGCUUGAAUCCAGGAGAGGUGAGUGGAAUUCCGAGUGUAGAGGUGAAAUUCGUAGAUAUUCGGAAGAACACCAGUGGCGAAGGCGGCUCACUGGACUGGUAUUGACGCUGAGGUGCGAAAGCGUGGGGAGCAAAUAGGAUUAGAUACCCUGGUAGUCCACGCCGUAAACGAUGAUAACUAGCUGUCAGGGCUCUUAGAGCUUUGGUGGCGCAGCUACGACAUUAAGUUAGUUACCGCCGUCGGGUAGGUACGGUCGGCGAGAGUUAAAGUACGUACGAAGAAGUAGUACGUACGUCGAGACGUAGCGACGACGACGACGACGGAGGAGG
rnacentral:rRNA from 1 species